rnacentral:rRNA from 1 species
UACGUAGGGGGCAAGCGUUGUCCGGAAUCAUUGGGCGUAAAGCGCGUGUAGGCGGCUCGGUAAGUCUGCUGUGAAAGUCCAGGGCUCAACCCUGGGAUGCCGGUGGAUACUGUCGAGCUCGAGUCCGGAAGAGGCGAGUGGAAUUCCUGGUGUAGCGGUGAAAUGCGCAGAUAUCAGGAGGAACACCGAUGGCGAAGGCAGCUCGCUGGGACGUGACUGACGCUGAGGCGCGAAAGCGUGGGGAGCAAACAGG